AUGCCAGCAGUCCCAGCAGGCAUACUCCUUUCUGCCCUUGCUUCUGUGAUACUUCUACUCCUCAGCACAGGACUGGAGCCGCAACCCCCAAGGAGCAUGAGUUCUGGGACAGGGUGCCUUCCUCUGCCCUGGCCAUUCCUCCUGUCUUCCUUCUGUCUUCACUCCAGGGUGGCGCCUAAUGACCCUGUCAAUCUAAGGCACCUUGGAGGAAGUCCCAUGCCUGGGAGGAUCUGGGACACAGCUGUUUAUGGUCACACUGUUUAUCCAGGAUCCAGGAAAGGGACAGAGCAGAGCCUGGCAUGUGCAGAUACCUGGAAGGACUCCCCGGCUGCAAACCAGAUGUGAUCUCCAAGCUGGAACAGUGGGAAGACCCCUGGACUAUGGAGACAGAUGUUCUGAGAGGUCCAGGUGAGUGAAGUAAAGGUCUAUCAGGUCAGUUUUUUUAAUUAAUUUCUCCCCCUAGCUUUGACGUAUAAUUGACAGUUAAAAAUUGUGUAUAUUUAAAGUGUAGAACAUGGUGUUUUGAUAUACAUUGUGAAAUGAUUACCACAAUCCAAAUAAUAGAUAUAUCCAUCUCCUCACAUAGUUGCGAUGUUUUUUUCUGUGGUGGGAAUGCUUACAGUCAACUAACUGUCUUAGGAAAUUUCUAGUAUAUAGUACAGUGUUAUAACUACAGUCACCAUGCUUCAGAUCAGUUUAUUUCUCCUCCUGGGGCAAGGAGGUGCAGUGUAUAUCCAACAGAAAAGAGCUAGUAGGUGCAGGAGCCUGAAAACAAACCCGACAGUCAUUUAACAGUCUCUUCGUUCACUUCCCCCAGCAUCUGACAGCCACUAAUCUGUCUUCUGUCUCUAUGAUUUGCAUCUUCUGAACUUUUCAUAUAAGUGAAGUUUAUAUAAAUAUAUUCAUAUAGAUACAUAUAAAUUCACUUAUUUUUCACAAAGAUACAUGUGCUACUAUGUGUGGCCUUUCUGUAUCUGGCUUCUAACCCUUAAGAAUAGUUCUCUAUGAGGGGCAACUGGGUGGCUCAAUUGGUUAAGCAUCCAAUUUCGGCCCAGGUCAUGAUCUCACAGCUUGUGAGUUUGAACCCAAUGUCAUGCUCUGUGCUGAUAGCUGGGAGCCUGGAGCCUGCUUCAGAUUCUGUGUCUCCCUCUCUCCCUGCCCCACCCCCGCUCAUGCUCUGUCUCUCUCCCCUUCAGAAAUAAAAAAACAUUAAAAAAAAAAAGAAUAGUUCUCUAUGAGCAUUCGCGUGCAGGUUUCUGUUUUCCAUUCUGUUGACCAGGCCCUGUUCUAGUGAGGGCGUGGUUGUAAAAUAGUGGCAGCUGACAGGUGAGGCAGCUCUCAGUGGCCUUGGCCCAUGACUUUCUGUGCUCCGCUCUACCACUUUUCCUCCCUACUGGGCAGAAGAGAGUUGACAGCAGGCAUGAGGCCACCAUUCUCAGAGAGGCCUAGCACAGGGUUGGCCUUUGGCUGGUGUCUGGCAACUUGGAUCAUGGUAGGAUCCCCCCAUUCCCUAAGUGAUAAGAAUGGCUCACUGCACCCAAGCCAUUUGUACAAACAACGUGAUUUACACUGAAUGCCUACUUUCCUCCUGGGAGCCUGGGAUUUUGGUACGUGCUACACAGCCAGUGCCUGCAUGGCCAGCCCCUAGUAAAACCCUAAGCUUGAGCCUCUGACAAACUGUAGACAACACUUCCGUGUCAGAAUCCAGAGCUGGAGGGGUUAGGUGCAUGCUGUGUGGCUCCACUGGGAGAGGACUCUGCCCCUGCACCUUUUCCCUUCGUUGAUUUUGCCUGGUGUCCUUUUGCUCUAACCAGUCACAGCCGUGAGUAUGACUCUGUGCUGAGAACUGUGUUGAGGAAUCACCAAGCCUGUGGGCGACCUUCCAGACCCGGAUCCAUUCACUCUUCUGCCCUCAACUGCAAGAGCCCUGCUGAAAGCCACAUAUCUGCACUGUCCAGUCUGACCGCUGCGGUUCUGUCCAUCUUCCCGAUUGGCCGUGCGUGUGUGGGUUGGAUCCUGAGCAUACUUCUUUGCUUACUUUUCAGGCUCAAAGCCUGGGCCCCGAGCUGCAUGGCUACCUCUAGACAAAG
ensembl:lncRNA